UACGGAGGGUGCGAGCGUUGUCCGGAAUCACUGGGCGUAAAGGGCGCGUAGGCGGCCUGAUAAGUAGGGGGUGAAAUCCUGCGGCUUAACCGCAGGGCUGCCUUCUAAACUGUCGGGCUAGAGCACGGUAGAGGCAGAUGGAAUUCCCGGUGUAGCGGUGGAAUGCGUAGAGAUCGGGAAGAACAUCAGUGGCGAAGGCGGUCUGCUGGGCCGUUGCUGACGCUGAGGCGCGCAGCGUGGGGAGCAACAGG
rnacentral:rRNA from 1 species